ACUUAGGAGUUCUCCCAGCCACGUGCCAUCAACACUAGCCAGCAUCAGAGGCAGCUGACACUGAGAUGUCUUGACUUGGAAAUCUUGUGAAUGUGCAGAGCAGUUUAAGACAAACUUAGGAAGGCCCAGGCCCAGCCAUAUUGUAAAGAAGAGACUGGCAGGUGUCCAACAAGCUGCUGUUAGAGUAUUCUCCUCCUCCACAAGAGUCCUCUGCCCUGUGUUUUCUGCCGACUUGUUCCUACUCCACUGAUGCUUGAAUGCGCUGGCUUUUUAACUUACCCUCCAGUUCGGGAUACGAGAUCAGACGAUGGGGGUAAAACAGGGAAAUGUCCACAGUAAGCACUGCUCUUACCAGCCGGAACACGGACAUCCCAGGUCAGCAGUUCCUUCAGCCUGUAGGAGGAAAAGCAAAAGGUCAGCCCCAUCGCCUAUCAGUCUGGAGCCCUAAAGAACAGGUGCCGUGUGAACUGUCAGCCUGUCCUCAAGUAUUUUGAUUGGAGUUUGCCUCCAGGAACAGCUCUGACUAGCUGGAGGACUGAGCCACAUUCCUGGUCUACCUUCUGCUCUGAGGAAGUCCUGUCUCUAUACCCUCUGCUCUGAGGAACUGUGACCAUCUGUCAAAAUGCUGAGAAGACCUUCAGCAAGUCUCCAUUCUUUAAAGGGAGGCUGGUCCCUCUGUUCAUCUCAUGGAACCUGGAGAGAUAUUGGAAAGAAAAGACAUAGAGGACCCUGAUACCACCUUGGUCAGUCCUUUCCAACCAACAGAACAAGAACUACCUUUCAGAUCUCCUUCCUGCUGUUUAUUCUGUACAUGUUGGUCUGUUGAAUUACAAAGAAGAAAUCCAUAGGGGCUAGUGAGUUAAAAAGGGCAAGGAUUCUUGCGGCCAAGCCUGAUGACCUGAGUUCAAUACUUAGUCCCCAUGUUGUAGAAUGAGGCAACUGACUUCCAAAAGUUAUUCUCAGACCUUCACAUGUGGCACUGUAUGCUCCCUGUCAGGUACAAUAAAUAAACAAAUAUUUAUAAAAAUGGAGAGCAAGGUCUGGAGAGAUGGUACAAUGGUUA